CACUCUUGACAAAACAUAUCUCGACUCCCACGUUGAAAAAAAAAAACAUAGCAAAAUGUGAUACUUGAUUUGAAAUGCAAAAUCUUAUGGACUAUGGAAUCUUUGAAUGCAAGUUACUCCUAAAACUUAAAUCGAAGGCACUCUGUCUUAGAUAUC
rnacentral:rRNA from 1 species